rnacentral:rRNA from 1 species
GGAAUCUUCCACAAUGGGCGGAAAGCCUGAUGGAGCAACGCCGCGUGUGUGAUGAAGGGUUUCGGCUCGUAAAACACUGUUGUAAGAGAAGAAUGACAUUGAGAGUAACUGUUCAAUGUGUGACGGUAUCUUACCAGAAAGGAACGGCUAAAUACGUGCCAG